UAUCAACUCGAGGAUGAUAGGCGAUGUGCGUGCCGACUCUCAGAAGCUUUUCACUUUGGAUACGUAUUAUCGGAUCAGUGCGUUACGCGUACGGUCACAACGAUCGUCAUCGUGCCGAUGACAGCGAAUGGUCUUCGGGACGAACGUAAUAAACCGGCUCUUUAUCGACGAACGUGAUUUUCCUUGAGCAAGAGCACACGCGAAAGAGAAAGAGAAAGAGAAAUAGAAAGAGAAAGAGAAAGAGAAAGAGAAAAAGAGUCGGAUAGAGAAGGAGAUGAGAGACGAUCGUUUGGGACGAUCGUUUCGAUCCCGAUAUUAGAUCGUUCGUCGUUAAUAAUAACUUAUGAGCGCUUAGCGCUCUUGCUUUUAUCGCUCGUUAUAUCUUGGAUCUUUACGGGCGCUAGAUAGGGUUUUAGAAAAUUGGAAUGAACGUCGGAGGCCAAGGUCAAAGUUUCCAAUCGCAUUAAUACCUGCGAAACGAUUUCUCAUACGUACUUACGUACGUGCACGUACAAUACUCGGAGUAAAGAUCGACCGGAAUCUCUCGUACCUUCGUCUCCUCGAUGUGCUUUCUGAUGAAAGAGAAAGAGAGAGAGAGAGAGAGAGAAGGAAGAAAGGACAGAAAGAGAAAAGGAUAAAGUAGUAGAUAGCGAUGGGUUCGUGUUAUUGCUACCGAGAGACGUGUCGAUGGAAUGGAAACGAUUCGAUAAAGAGAAACCACAAAUUUCUAGCGAUCGAGCCGCGAUGUGGUAGAGCAAACUGGAGAGCGAUCAUCCCAUUUGCGUUGGUAAAACUGUUUUUGUAGUGGGGAAAAACGAAAGGAAAGAAAAAUAAAACGGAUAUAGAAGAAGAAGAAGAAGAAGAAGAAGAAGAGGGAAAAGAGAGGAAAGAAAAUUUCCGGUAGCGGGACUCCCCGUCGUGGAGAUCUCUUGUUGCUUCGCAUUUUGACGCGCGAAGUUCUUCGCGAGGAACGAAAGAGAAAGAGAAAGAUAGAUAGGAUAGAUAGAAAGAGGAAAAGAGAGAGAGAGAGAGAGAGAGAUAAAUAGAGAGAGAUAGAGAGAUAGAGAGAAAGAGAGAGAAAAGAGAAGAUCGCGAAGCGUGCCGUCCAAUUAAACUCUUCUGCCGGGCGAACGCGCGCUCCUACUAUAUUGAUUUAAUUAUCUCGUUACGACUCGGCAAAAGUCCGCUCAGGCCGAACGCUCGAGAGCGCCUAUAUACACGCGUAUAAGUCGAUCAAUUACCGGAGGGUGGCGGGAGGAGGGGGAGGGACUCGAUUCUGUCUCCUUUCUCGAACAACAU